GUUUGUUCACAAUGGAAGAAAAAUAGUUCUAAUGUUUGAUCCUACACAUCUGCUCAAGGCACAAGAAAUAACCUCAUGAACAGCACCUUUCAAUUUGGAAAAUAUUCGGCUUGCUGGAAAGACAAUGAAAAUGUAUAUGAGAGAGAUAAAUCGCUAUCAAUUAGAGCAGCUCCUUAAUGAUACUUAACAUUUUAAAAGGUUUCAAGUUUGGUCCCGACUCCAUAACAGGUAACAAGCAGACACUUACAUGGUAUCGAAUUUUGGACGCGUUUAAGUUCGGGUAUGCUUGUCGUCCGUUCAUUGGUGAUCCAGAAUUUUAUCGUAAUGUUGAAAAAGAUGUUCAAAUAAAUACAACAUAUGCUGAAGAUUUGCGUAAAAUGAUAUGGAACAAUGAAACACACGAUAGUUUUUACUAUGAAGGGUUUUACUCCACAAGAAAAGACUCUGGGACUACACAUGUAUCAGUAAUUUUGUCAACUCGAGAUGCUAUGUCUGUCACUACAUAGUUGGUUAUUGUUUUGGUGCAAAGAUUUCGAUCCUAUACAACAGGGAUAGUCUACAACAAUCAUAUGAGUUCAUUUUCGUUACCAAAUACAUCAAAAAGUUAUCAACCAAAAGCGUCAAAAGCCAAGUUUAUUCAGUCUGGGAAACGCUCUGUAUCAACAGCUUGUCCAACUAUAGUUGUUGAUUCAAAAGGUGACGUGAAAAUGGUUCUUGGUGGUUCGGGUAGAUUGAGAAUAAUAACUGGUGUGGCUGUAGUAAGUAACGAUGAUUCUGUUUUAAAUGUUUGUAUCUUUUGCUCUUUUUUUAUCUUUCACUGAACGUGUCACGUGGUUAGCCCGCUGUAACCGGAAACUCUUUGGUCGAGCAAUAUGAAAAAGUAUCCAUUAUUACAAAUUCACUAUAUUUCUACCCCCAGAUUACCCCAUCCCACUUAACUCCCUUUGACAAAAAUAGUUAAUUUUACAAGCGAUAAGCAGUACAUAUCAUUAUGGUUAUUAUUACAUUUGUCAUUUCUGGGUUUGUUAUUUAUGAAUCAAAUCAUUCGAAAGUUCAUGGAAAGAUCAGUUCAAAGCUGAGGCCGAAUGUCGACCAGGUGCAAGUUCUUCAAAAGCAUUGUAUUCAGGGAAACAACCACAUUUAAUGCACUCUUGAUUCGUCUGGACUGUUGUUAUACUUUGAAUCAUCCCAAUAGGCACUGGGAGCACGAUGGGUAUGGACCUAUAGCUCUGUACAAGUCAGACUGGGAUAGAAUUGAUGGCAUGGAUGUGGAACGAUUUAGGUAUGCCUGGGGUGUAG